CCUACGGGUGGCUGCAGUGGGGAAUAUUGGACAAUGGGGGGAACCCUGAUCCAGCCAUGCCGCGUGUGUGAAGAAGGCCCUCGGGUUGUAAAGCACUUUCAGUGAGGAAGAACGCCUGGUGGUUAAUACCCAUCAGGAAAGACAUCACUCACAGAAGAAGCACCGGCUAACUCCGUGCCAGCAGCCGCGGUAAUACGGAGGGUGCGAGCGUUAAUCGGAAUUACUGGGCGUAAAGCGCGCGUAGGUGGCUUGAUAAGCCGGUUGUGAAAGCCCCGGGCUCAACCUGGGAACGGCAUCCGGAACUGUCAAGCUAGAGUGCAGGAGAGGAAGGUAGAAUUCCCGGUGUAGCGGUGAAAUGCGUAGAGAUCGGGAGGAAUACCAGUGGCGAAGGCGGCCUUCUGGACUGAAACUGACACUGAGGUGCGAAAGCGUGGGUAGCAAACAGGAUUAGAUACCCUUGUAGUC
rnacentral:rRNA from 1 species